AUAUUUCCCUGUCAGGAGAGGUACUAUACUUACGAAAGUGGUUUUUCAGGGUGAGGAUUAUCAGCUGUACUCUGGAUGUGCUGAUCCCUGCGAUUUUCCCACAUGCGAGAAACUUGGCUGCAUAAUUUGUGGUGGUGGGGGACUGCGUUCGCGUUUUCGCCUG
ensembl:snRNA U1 U1 spliceosomal RNA